ACCACCCCCAACCCCCUCCUCUAAAGAGGAGGGGGCUCCGGCUCUCCCCCUCCUCUUUAGAGGAGGGGGUCGGGGGGUGG
rnacentral:ncRNA from 24 species